UACGAAGGGGGCUAGCGUUGCUCGGAAUGACUGGGCGUAAAGGGCGCGUAGGCGGCUCAUACAGUCAGAUGUGAAAUUCCUGGGCUUAACCUGGGGGCUGCAUUUGAUACGUGUGGGCUUGAGUGGGGAAGAGGGUCGUGGAAUUCCCAGUGUAGAGGUGAAAUUCGUAGAUAUUGGGAAGGAACACCGGAUGGCAAGGCAGGU
rnacentral:rRNA from 1 species